rnacentral:rRNA from 1 species
AACGAACGCUGGCGGCAGGCUUAACACAUGCAAGUCGAGCGCCCCGCAAGGGGAGCGGCAGACGGGUGAGUAACGCGUGGGAAUCUACCCAUCCCUACGGAAUAGCUCCGGGAAACUGGAAUUAAUACCGUAUACGUCCUACGGGGGAAAGAUUUAUCGGGGAUGGAUGAGCCCGCGUUGGAUUAGCUAGUUGGGGGGGUAAAGGCCUACCAAGGCGACGAUCCAUAGCUGGUCUGAGAGGAUGAUCGGCCACAUUGGGACUGAGACACGGACCAAACUCCUACGGGAGGCAGCAGUGGGGAAUAUUGGACAAGGGGGGCAACCCUGAUCCAGCCAUGCCGCGUGAGUGAUGAAGGCCUUAGGGUUGUAAAGCUCUUUCACCGGGGAAGAUAAUGACGGUACCCGGAGAAGAAGCCCCGGCUAACUCCGUGCCAGCAGCCGCCGUAA